GAUGAACGCUGGCGGCGUGCCUAAUACAUGCAAGUAGAACGCUGAAGGAGGAGCUUGCUUCUCUGGAUGAGUUGCGAACGGGUGAGUAACGCGUAGGUAACCUGCCUGGUAGCGGGGGAUAACUAUUGGAAACGAUAGCUAAUACCGCAUAAUAUUGACUAUUGCAUGAUAGUCAGUUGAAAGGUGCAACUGCACCACUACCAGAUGGACCUGCGUUGUAUUAGCUAGUUGGUGGGGUAACGGCUCACCAAGGCGACGAUACAUAGCCGACCUGAGAGGGUGAUCGGCCACACUGGGACUGAGACACGGCCCAGACUCCUACGGGAGGCAGCAGUAGGGAAUCUUCGGCAAUGGACGGAAGUCUGACCGAGCAACGCCGCGUGAGUGAAGAAGGUUUUCGGAUCGUAAAGCUCUGUUGUAAGAGAAGAACGAGUGUGAGAGUGGAAAGCUCACACUGUGACGGUAUCUUACCAGAAAGGGACGGCUAACUACGUG
rnacentral:rRNA from 1 species